rnacentral:rRNA from 1 species
UACGGAGGGGGCUAGCGUUGUUCGGAAUUACUGGGCGUAAAGCGCACAUAGGCGGAUCAGUCAGUUAGAGGUGAAAGCCCAGGGCUCAACCCUGGAACUGCCUUUAAUACUGCUGGUCUGGAGUCCGAGAGAGGUGAGUGGAAUUCCGAGUGUAGAGGUGAAAUUCGUAGAUAUUCGGAGGAACACCAGUGGCGAAGGCGGCUCACUGGCUCGGUACUGACGCUGAGACGCGAAAGCGUGGGGAGCGAACAGG